GAAAUAGUGAGAGAAAGGGGUAAAGAGAACCUAGAGAGAGGAGAAGGGAUGACCGGCUGGAAGACUCACCGAAAACUACCGCCGAAGUCUAUUCCGGUGAAGAUCAUGAUGCAAGGAGGUGAAGAUCAUGAUGCAGGGAGACUUUCUUGGAAGGGAAAAACCCACAAGGAACAACUCUACGCAUGAUCUGUGAAGAAGUUUGGCCGAGAUCUCAACCUGAAGGCGGAGGUCCAAGAAUCGUCCGAGAACGGGACCUCAUUUAAAGAAAUCAGUAUUUUUGGACACCUCACCGACAAAGAAACGCUAGCAAAAAGGGCACGCGUCAACCAGCCAUAGGAAGGACAUGUUUCAGGAAGGGGCGAAGACAUGUGUCAAAUCGCCAAUGGAAGACUGCGUCUAACUAAGAGAGUAGCACACCGCGAGAGGAAUGGAGCGACGCUUCUUGCACCAAACGGUGAUGCGUGUCUCGAAGACUCGACCCGACUCGAUAACCAGCUCUGUCUACUUGUCAAGCCAACCCAAACUGCUCAUUAGACUCAUGACUCGUGUAUCACACGAGUGUGCCACAUGUCAUUACGAGAAUAAACGAAGGAAUUUCAUGCUCACAA